AUCCAGCUGACGAGUCCUAAAUAUGACGAAACACGCGUCCUCUAU
rnacentral:hammerhead_ribozyme from 1 species